CCUACGGGUGGCAGCAGUGGGGAAUAUUGCGCAAUGGGCGAAAGCCUGACGCAGCGACGCCGCGUGAGGGAUGAAGGUCUUCGGAUCGUAAACCUCUGUCAGCAGGGAAGAACGGUCACUGUGCUAAUCAGCAGUGAAUUGACGGUACCUGCAAAGGAAGCACCGGCUAACUCCGUGCCAGCAGCCGCGGUAAUACGGAGGGUGCGAGCGUUAAUCGGAAUUACUGGGCGUAAAGCGCUCGUAGGCGGUAUGUCAAGUCAAGGGUGAAAUCCCCGCGCUCAACGUGGGAACUGCCUUUGAAACUGGCAAACUGGAGUGUGUGAGAGGAUGGUGGAAGUCCAGGUGUAGGGGUGAAAUGCGUAGAUAUCUGGAGGAACAUCAGUGGCGAAGGCGACUAUCUGGCACAUAACUGACGCUGAGGAGCGAAAGCGUGGGUAGCAAACAGGAUUAGAUACCCCUGUAGUC
rnacentral:rRNA from 1 species